GGGAAAUGUAGGGGAGCCGCCGGACUAAGCUGCCCAAGGGGGUCGGCGCCCCAGGCUUCUUGGUUGCAUGCUGGGGCGCGGGGAGGGGGCGAUUCUUACCCGAAGGCUGCCGAGCUGCAGGCGGCGGUCGGUCCGGGCGUCUGCUGUAAUCCACUAGGCGCUGCCCGGCUGCGCUCACUCUCGGACGCAGAGACCCGCUCAUGUUGGUGAAGAAGCCGCGCCAGAACCGCGCGGCUGCAGUCACCUCGAGCAGGCCGGCUGCUCCUGGCAGGCGGUGUCGGCGCCGGCGGGGGGCUCGGCGCCCAGGGCCCCUUCCAGGCCCUCCCUCGCCGGGCUCCCCACCAGCCCCGGAGGUGGCGGCGGUGCGGACCGAGUGAGCGGCGGUGGGGCCAGGCCGGGCGCAGGGCGGGAGCCGAGGCCGCGGCGGACUCCGCAAUCCCACAGCCAGCGACUGGAGCCCACCUCUGCAGAGACAAAGGAACUGCUCUGGUGAACUCCCCCUGAAAGUAAAUGUCCUUGGCUGGCCUCCAGCAUUCCCUUCAUGGGCAUAACCAUGCAGCCUUCAGAACCUUCCUGAAAGAGAUGCCCAAGGAUUCAGCAAACACGGGGCAAGCAGAGGACACAACAAGCUUGGAUGUGAAAUAGCACUUCCUUCUGUAUUACAGAAUAAAACAAUAUUUUAAAUUACACAAGCAGAUGGGG